GGGUGCGUAACGCGUGGGAAUCUGCCCUUGGGUCUGGAAUAACAGUUAGAAAUGACUGCUAAUACCAGAUGAUGACUUCGGUCCAAAGAUUUAUCGCCCAGGGAUGAGCCCGCGUCGGAUUAGCUAGUUGGUGAGGUAAAAGCUCACCAAGGCGACGAUCCGUAGCUGGUCUGAGAGGAUGAUCAGCCACACUGGGACUGAGACACGGCCCAG
rnacentral:rRNA from 1 species